AUCUUAGAAAUAAAUCUUGAAUAUUUUUUACCGUAUUUCAAAUCCUUGAAAUUGCAAGUGUUAUUUUAAUGGCAAUAUAAAAAUAAUAAAUGAAUUAAUAAAAAAUUCAUAAAUUUUUUUUGCAUGACGGAGGUUACUGUAUAAUAUGACAAUAUAAGAAACAGAUCACAAGAUAGAUAACAAAUUGCAUGAAAUGUAAAAAAGCAAUCUACGUUUAUAAUAAAUUAAAAGGACAUGGUCAUGCAUAUCGAAUUAAUUAUUAACGUAGACUGCUUCGUAUUAUUAAUCAUGAUGAUUCAAAAAUAACCCCAGUGGUGUUAAAAAUGUGGAAGCUGAAGAAUAUGAUCGAAGCAUUGCUGCCUAUUUAAAUUUUUCAGUAUCAAUUAUGUUUGCACUGAAACUGUUAAUAAGUGGGAACAAACUGGGGAAAUAAUUCAUAAGCUCGAGCUGGAGUCUAAAGAUACAAAUUUCCAAAGGGAAAUAAAACAGUUUUCGAUGCAAAUGUUGCAAAAUCCAUUAAAAUUUACUCUAUGUGGACUAUUAGAUCUUGGUUUUUAUUUUGUCAGAGAUUUUGCUGGAUCCGUAACAACACAACUUAUCAUAUUGAUUCAAACCUAUCCAAUGCACAAUAAUACACCGUAAAAAUAAUAUUUUUAAAGUUUAAUUGCAUUGUAAAAAUUUUAAAUGUCAUCAUGAUAUUAAAUAAUUCAAUUAUUAGUGUUCUCAAGUGUUAAUUGUAAUGCAAUUACUGUAAAAUAUUUAAAAAAGAAAUAAACCACCCGCGAGUCAAUUAAUUACUAUAAUUAAGUCUGCAUUUCAUGAGUACUUUUUAUGUAUUAUUUCAAUAUUUAUAAAUAAAUAAUUAAUGAAAUUAAGUUUGCAUGACUAACAAUAGAUGAUUAUCAAAAGUUGAUUCAAGGAAGAUAGUAAAUGAGUUGCGUAUAACAUAAAACCGCAAAGUGUAAUGCAAUAACUGAUAAAAAAUACAUUAUAACAAUGAUAGAACGAUGUAUAUCGAACUAAUUAUUACUAAGUACGGCGGUUGUUUAAAGUGAAGCUCAUAUGAGUGUCAUCAGUUGCGCUCAUAAUGUGGAAACCAAAGAAUUUACUCGAGGCUCUGUUGCCUAUACAUAUUUUAAAUAUUAUUUUUUGUCACGGAGUAAUACAAUAUCCAAGUGUUGAUAAAUCGAAAAUAUUUUAUUCUUUUCUGCAUUCAAUUAUCUCGGCAAUAAUGUUCUUGACAUGUUUUAUUCUAGUAUUUUUGAAUUAUUCCAAUCCAUCAUGGGCAAAUAAAUACAAUCUAUCAUAUUUUGUUAAUGCAACUGCAGUAACUUGUGUCAUGUUUAUAAACCUUAUUGUCCGC